ensembl:snoRNA SNORA70 Small nucleolar RNA SNORA70
CUGCAGAGCCCAGAGUACAAUGGCUACAAACUGCACUCUCCUUGGCAGCCAAUACUGCUUGUAGUGGGUUGCCCUAAGAGACCAUGGAAACACCC